AGCAAAGAUGGCAGCCUUCUUCUUCUUCUGGGAGCUCUGUCCCAGAGGCACACUGACCUAUUGCCAGCCAGAACACCCCUGUAUGAGGUACCCAAACUAAGAAGCCGAUGAAACUAGUUUUUCAGCCCUUAGCACAUCACCCAUAAAUGGAGACAAGGUGAUCAAGAGAUGCUGAGGAGGGCUGAUAGUGGAGAGAAUUGUUGGAAAGCAUGAAUUUCCCCAACCACAGAAGAAAGAGCCUGUGGUUUAUUUUCUCUUGUCUGGACACUGUUCCAUGAACCCCAGGAGAGAG
rnacentral:lncRNA from 1 species